GCGGACAUAGCUCAGUUGGGAGAGCGUCAGACUGAAGUGGGAUUCGUUCCUGCAAACUUCAUUCAAUUCAUCUGAAGGUCGUGUGUUCAAUCCACACUGGCCGCA
rnacentral:tRNA from 1 species